rfam:Ovis aries breed Texel chromosome 3, whole genome shotgun sequence.
UCCCUGAUGGCUCAGACGGUAAAGAAUCUGCCUGCAAUGCAGGAGACCCAGGCUCGAUCCCUGGAUCGGGAA